UCUUCAGUUAUUGACAUUUUAGUUAGUUUAGUUUGGACAUUUGAAUUAUGUUGGCAUAUGCUAUUUUGAAAUUUUGUAAGUCUGCUUUUGAACAAUUUAAAUAAUUAUGUCAUCUUUGAAUAGCUGUAUCUGCUUUGAUAUGAUCUGCUGCCUUGCACGCCUGUGCGGUCCGCCGUGUGGGCGUGCGGCGUCUGCCGCGCCUCGGGCUCGGGGCGUGACAG
rnacentral:lncRNA from 1 species